rnacentral:rRNA from 1 species
UACGUAGGGGGCUAGCGUUGUCCGGAAUCAUUGGGCGUAAAGAGCGUGUAGGCGGCCCGGUAAGUCCGCUGUGAAAGUCGGGGGCUCAACCCUCGAAUGCCGGUGGAUACUGUCGGGCUAGAGUGCGGAAGAGGCGAGUGGAAUUCCUGGUGUAGCGGUGAAAUGCGUAGAGAUCCGGAGGAACACCAGUGGCGAAGGCGACACGCUGGGUCAUACCUGACGCUAAUACGCGACAGCAUGGGGAGCAAACGGG